GACGAACGCUGGCGGCGUGCUUAACACAUGCAAGUCGAACGAUGAAGCCGGAGCUUGCUCCGGUGGAUUAGUGGCGAACGGGUGAGUAACACGUGAGCAAUCUGCCCUUGACUCUGGGAUAACUGCGGGAAACUGUAGCUAAUACCGGAUACGACACCUUGGGGCAUCCCAGGGUGUGGAAAGAAUUUCGGUCAAGGAUGAGCCCGCGGUCUAUCAGCUAGUUGGUGAGGUAAUGGCUCACCAAGGCGACGACGGGUAGCCGGCCUGAGAGGGUGACCGGCCACACUGGAACUGAGACACGGUCCAGACUCCUACGGGAGGCAGCAGUGGGGAAUAUUGCACAAUGGGCGAAAGCCUGAUGCAGCAACGCCGCGUGAGGGAUGAAGGCCUUCGGGUUGUAAACCUCUUUUAGCAGGGAAGAAGCGAAAGUGACGGUACCUGCAGAAAAAGCACCGGCUAACUACGUGCCAGCAGCCGCAGUAA
rnacentral:rRNA from 1 species